GWCGAACGCGUUGSCCAAUUGAUUGAUGGUGCUUGCMCYKRAUUGAUUUUGGUCGCCAACGAGUGGCGGACGGGUGAGUAACACGUAGGUMACCUGCCCAGAAGCGGGGGACAACAUUUGGAAACAGAUGCUAAUACCGCAUAACAACGUUGUUCGCAUGAACAACGCUUAAAAGAUGGCUUCUCGCUAUCACUUCUGGAUGGACCUGCGGUGCAUUAGCUUGUUGGUGGGGUAACGGCCUACCAAGGCGAUGAUGCAUAGCCGAGUUGAGAGACUGAUCGGCCACAAUGGGACUGAGACACGGCCCAUACUCCUACGGGAGGCAGCAGUAGGGAAUCUUCCACAAUGGGCGCAAGCYUGAUGGAGCAACACCGCGUGAGUGAAGAAGGGUUUCGGCUCGUAAAGCUCUGUUGUUAAAGAAGAACACGUAUGAGAGUAACUGUUCAUACGUUGACGGUAUUUAACCAGAAAGUCACGGCUAACUACGUGCCAGCMGCCGCG
rnacentral:rRNA from 2 species